UCAAAUGGUACAUCCCGCUUUGCCCUCCUCUCUCUUUCACUCCCCUCCCACCUGCUUCCAGUGUCCUCCAUCUCUCUGCUGUCUCUUAUUUUCCAAUAUAAAGGACGUUGUAACUUCCCCAGAUUCCCCAGCCUCCUCCUUCAUCGUUUCCUCCUCUCAUCCCUGCACUUUCAGGACAGUGAAGCAGCACAAAGACUGCUCCUGGCCAGACCACACCUCAAGUCCCUGUGUCCAUGGAAGCCAAAACUAAGCCUGGGGCCCCAAAGCCCAAGGCAGCAUCACAAGCAGAGAAAAAGGAACCGGCAGCACCCCGCAAAGCCGAACCAACUCCUACAGCCCCUGAAGCAGAGAAACCCCCUGCCUCCCAGGAUGGAGCAGCAGAGGCUGAAUCAGCAGCAGCAGCAGGCGAUGAGACGGCGGCCUCUGGCACAAACUGUCUGGAACACCUGACCCCCUUUCUGAUCGGUGGUGCCGUCGUUGCUGCGGGGGCCAUCUUGCUAGGAGUGGUCCUGCUGGCUAGGAGAAACUAAAACUAAAUGUUGAAAUGAAGUUGGAGUGUCUAUUGGGCACUAUUAGAGUCCAAUAUCCUGCGUGUUCUUCACGACUGGUUCACAGACUAUUCAACUGCAAAUGGCCAAUGGGGAGACGCUGUGCAUUUUUGCCCUCUUUGUUUUGGUCUGCUAUCACUAGUGAGUGAAUUCACCCUCACAAGUUUUGGUCCAGGCUGUGUAUGGAGCAUAUUAAUACUUAGCAUAAGCAUGAAAUUUCCACUAUACCACGAAAUGUAACUAUCUUAAAAACAAAAGAAGAAAAAAAACCUCACAGUAUAUUGUUGAGCAAAAGAGGCCUAAUGAAGCUUUAUCAGCUUUUACUGCUUUAUCAUUUUUAACUUUGUGCUUGUGUGGACUCAUGGUUGCAACAUUUUUGGUUUAUUUUUGUAAAGAUGAUGAAAACUGCAUUCAUUUGAGUCACAAUGUUCUUAGUCUGUGCAACUUCUGGGCUUUUUUUUAUUAUUAUUUUAGGAGAAAAAAGAUCUUCAGGGGUGGUAAUAGAGCAGCCAGGUUUGUGUACGGUCAUUUACUGCACAUAUUUAACUCAAAAAAAGCCUUCCCUUUUACACAACGUCAUAGUGUAUAUGUACGCUUUACGACAAACAUCUGGUAUGGGAAAAAUGGCCCAUUUCUGACUGGAACUGUUUGCUUUCAAAGUCUUUUUAUAUUAUUUUGACGACUUUUUGGGCAAGUCGGUUCUGUAACAGACACCAGUAUCAGAGGACGUAGUUAGGCUGUUUUUGAGCUAUCAUGUGCACCACUCAUAAACCAAAUUAUCUAGUGCAGUGCCAGUUUAGACUUCUGGAUGCAGCUCAAAAGAGACUGAAUUUCAAAAAAGGACAAUUUGUACAUUAAAAUCAAUUUACUAUUUUUUUUUUUUUUUUUUUUGACAGAACAUAGAAGCAUGCAGAAUUUUAGGGAAAAUACGUAAGUAAUUGUUGGAUUAUUAGUGUACACUUUGGAAAAAAAAUGUUCAAUUGUGUUUUGAAUGAGACACAAAUAAGAGAUGACUAGAUCUACUGUAAAAUGCUAAGAGGAAUCAUUAACAUUUCAUGCCAUACAAAAUAACAAUCAGCCAUUUUGGAUCCGUCUGUUUACAUUGUUGCUAAAGAGCCAUUAGUGUUGCAGUAUCAAGUUGCCAAACUAUGUCUACUGAUUGUCUGUCCCAUGCAGUCUUAUUGCUAGACAUAUCACCUGUACAGCUGCACUACUAUGUCUGAAUUGUUUGCAUUGUAGAAUUUGAGUUUCUGCUUUUACGAAAAACAGGAAGUAGAAAGACAGUUAUAACAAACACACACACACACAAUAUGAGUUAUACACUACACUCUGUUCUGACCAAAAAGGAUCAUAAAAUUCUCACCACAACCUCACCACCUCCCACCCCUACCAUGUCCAAAAAGAUAGUAGCACCAAAGUAAAUUUCACCCUACAUUGUACAAUAUAGAGUACCAAAAAAAGAAGAGGAAAAAAUCUUAUUUUCAUAAUUUUAACAGCGUAUAAAUGCAAUAAUUCAGGUAGGACUAUUCAUUUAGCACACGUGCUGUAGCAAGUUCAAUUACAUAGAUGAUGUAACAAUGUUUGGUGUUGACGAUGGCGAUGUUGGUGACAAUACAUGAUGCCAAUGAUGAUGAUAGUUAUCAUUGUGUCUGUUAGAAUGAUAUGAAGGAUAUUUUUUUUAAUAUAUAUUUUAACAGAUUUUCUAAAUGCAGCCUGUCUUUUGCCCCCAAAAGUAUAAAUGUACAAAAAAGAAGAGUUUAAGAUUUAGCCUCAAUAAAAGAAGUGAACCAGUCUGAA